CAGUAUACACAACCAUGUCGGGGAAAUAACACACAGGAAAUUGCCUUCUGAACACUACAAAAAAAACCAAAUUUAGUUUUAAGCAUAAAGUGUUAAAUAACAUUUUUGAAAAAAACACUUACUUAAUAAACAAAACCCAACAAACAAAUGCUUGCAAGGACAUAAAACGAGAUUGGACAAAACACGUGGUUAACAAUAGACUUGCUGACUGAAUGAUAUUGAUAUUUUCUUCUGGCUCGAGAACGUAGACUUCAAAUUCCCUGUUAAACACUUAAACCGAAUGGCAAACAAGUUGAGUGGAGGAUCAACCGUAUCUUGCAGUGCAGUUCAGUUCUCAAUCAAUUAUCGACUGGACAAAUGAUGGCAAGCACUUGAAAGUUCAAAAAACAGAUGACACUUACAAAAAUACACUUGGCAAAAAAGAAAACUUGUCUAUGGUCUUCAUUUAAAAUCCGGGAUAUACCGGGAAUACACUUGAAAUUAGUCUUUCGACUUAAAAAUCAUAAUUUAAAUACAAAAUGGGAAGUAAAUUUCUAGCGCAACACAAACUAAUUGUGCAUACCCAGCUUAUUUCCAGAUACCCACUAUAAUAAUCACAACAACUAGCUGCAAUUAAGAGUAAGUCGCUGGUUUGCUGGAGCUUAAGAACGCCCCUUUGAGAUUU